rnacentral:rRNA from 1 species
AUUGAACGCUGGCGGCAGGCCUAACACAUGCAAGUCGAACGAGUGGCGGACGGGUGAGUAAUGUCUGGGAAACUGCCUGAUGGAGGGGGAUAACUACUGGAAACGGUAGCUAAUACCGCAUACCAUCGGAUGUGCCCAGAUGGGAGUAGCUCGUAGGUGGGGUAACGGCUCACCUAGGCGACGAUCCCUAGCUGGUCUGAGAGGAGGACCAGCCACACUGGAACUGAGACACGGUCAAGACUCCUACGGGAGGCAGCAGUGGGAAAUAUUGCACAAUGGGCGAAAGCAUGAUGAAGCCAUGCGGCGUGUAUGAAGAAGGCCGUCGGGUUGUAAAGUACUUUCAGCGGGGAGGCGUUACCCGCAGAAGAAGCACCGGCUAACUCCGUGCCAGCAGCCGCGGUAAUUC